rnacentral:rRNA from 1 species
UAGGGAAUCUUCGGCAAUGGGGGCAACCCUGACCGAGCAACGCCGCGUGAGUGAAGAAGGUUUUCGGAUCGUAAAGCUCUGUUGUAAGAGAAGAACGUGUGUGAGAGUGGAAAGUUCACACAGUGACGGUAACUUACCAGAAAGGGACGGCUAACUACGUGCCAGCAGCCGCGGUAAUACGUAGGUCCCGAGCGUUGUCCGGAUUUAUUGGGCGUAAAGCGAGCGCAGGCGGUUUAAUAAGGCUGAAGUUAAAGGCAGUGGCUUAACCAUUGUUAGCUUUGGAAACUGUUAAACUUGAGUGCAGAAGGGGAGAGUGGAAUUCCAUGUGUAGCGGUGAAAUGCGUAGAUAUAUGGAGGAACACCGGUGGCGAAAGCGGCUCUCUGGUCUGUAACUGACGCUGAGGCUCGAAAGCGUGGGGAGCAAACAGG